rnacentral:rRNA from 1 species
UGCCAGACUCCUACGGGAGGCAGCAGUGAGGAAUAUUGGUCAAUGGGCUUACGCCUGAACCAGCCAAGUCGCGUGAGGGAAGACUGCCCUAUGGGUUGUAAACCUCUUUUGUCAGGGAGCAAUUGGCGCUACGUGUAGCGUUAUCGAGAGUACCUGAAGAAAAAGCAUCGGCUAACUCCGUGCCAGCAGCCGCGGUAAUACGGAAGGUCCGGGCGUUAUCCGGAUUUAUUGGGUUUAAAGGGAGCGUAGGCCGGUCUUUAAGCGUGCCGUGAAAUUUUGUGGCUCAACCAUGAGAGUGCGGCGCGAACUGGAGACCUUGAGUGCGCGGAAGGCGGGCGGAAUUCGUGGUGUAGCGGUGAAAUGCUUAGAUAUCACGAAGAACCCCGAUUGCGAAGGCAGCCUGCCGCAGCGUUACUGACGCUGAAGCUCGAAAGCGCGGGUAUCGAACAGGAUUAGAUACCCGGGUA